rnacentral:rRNA from 1 species
GACGAACGCUGGCGGCGUGCUUAACACAUGCAAGUCGAACGGCAAGGCCCUGCUUUUGUGGGGUGCUCGAGUGGCGAACGGGUGAGUAACACGUGAGUAACCUGCUCUUGACUUUGGGAUAACUUCAGGAAACUGGGGCUAAUACCGGAUCGGAGCUCCUGCUGCAUGGUGGGGGUUGGAAAGUUUCGGCGGUUGGGGAUGGACUCGCGGCUUACUAGCUUGUUGGUGGGGUAGUGGCUUACCCAGGCUUUGACGGGUAGCCGGCCUGAGAGGGUGACCGGCGACAAGGGUACUAAGGGAGGGCGCAGACGGCAACGUGGGACAGAAGGGGGAAAUAUUGCACAGUGGGCGCAAGUCUGAUACAACAGCGCUGGGGUCGUGAUGACGUCCUUCGGGUUGUGAACCGCUGUCGCCUGUGACGAAGCGUGAGUGACGGUAAUGGAUAAAGAAGCACCGGCUAACUACGUG